rnacentral:rRNA from 1 species
UACAGAGGGUGCGAGCGUUGUUCGGACUUACUGGGCGUAAAGCGCGUGUAGGCGGUUUGUUAAGUCAGAUGUGAAAUCCCGAAGCUUAACUUCGGACGUGCAUUUGAAACUAGCAGGCUUGAGUGUGGUAGAGGAUGGCGGAAUACCCAGUGUAGAGGUGAAAUUCGUAGAUAUUGGGUAGAACACCGGUGGCGAAGGCGGCCAUCUGGGCCACAACUGACGCUGAGACGCGAAAGCGUGGGGAUCAAACAGG